rnacentral:rRNA from 1 species
AGCUCCAAUAGCGUAUCUUAAUGUUGUUGCAGUUAAAAAGCUCGUAGUCGAAUUUCUGGCCGGGCAAUACCACUUUAAGUGAGUUAUUUCCCAGGUCAUCCGCCUGUGAGCAUAGCUCUUGAUUUAACCCUUGACUAUAGGAGCAGGCAUUUUACUUUGAAGAAAUCAGAGUGUUUCAGGCAGGCUUUCGCUUGAAUACACCAGCAUGGAAUAAUGGAAUAGGACUAAGUCUUUUUAUUGGUUAAUUGAUUUAGUAAUGAUUAAUAGGGACAGCCGGGGGCAUUUGUAUUCGAUAGUUAGAGGUGAAAUUCUAUGAUUUAUCGAAGACAAACUAAUGCGAAGGCAUCUGCCAAGGAUGUUUUCA